AAACACAACCUAAGCAUGUUAUUUUCUAGACUUGACUCGUCCGGACUUUAAAAUGAUAGUCGGGCUAUGACGAGUCUUGGACCCGUGGUGACUUAUGAAACUUGGGUUCCCCACCCUGCCACACUCACGAGGUUAGUCCGUUCCGCGCCUUGAGGCAUACUGGGAGCCCCCAAGACUAAGGACCUCCUGCUACUUCUCACCACAUGGUUCAACCUCUCUAAGUGAGUUUGAUUGACCAUUGAAGCGUCAGAAUGACUCCCAAAGCUGAGCCCCUACUUUCAUUUUAAAACACUAAGAAUCUCACCAAGAGAUUCUACAUUUGAAACUACCAUAAGCAACCAUGAAAUCAAUCAUGUUUUAGUCUUUCCCAAUUCACACACCUUUGAANUAUAAUCAAACCACAUGUUUAAACCUUAAAGAUCAAGUCAUAUGUAACAGAACAUGCUCCAGAACCACUUCCAAUCAUCUCAAAUAAACAAUAUUGUCAUGUUAUCACCAAACAGUAAUAUAUAUCAAACAACAAUUGCUAAAAUCAUGGAUUAUAUAUGAAAAUAAUAAUAGCAUAAUCAUUGAAAGCUAAAACAAAUUUAUCACUACAAAGUAAUAUAAUGAAUGACACAAAAAAAAGAAAGACACUGCGCCUGCACCUUAUACUUUUGAUAGGUUCAUAAAAAUAUAAUAUAUAUCAAUAAAUAUAUAUAUAUAUAUAUAUAUAUAUAUAUAUAUAUAUAUAUAUAUAUAUAUAUAUAUAUAUAAAUAAGUAAACGUAAUAUAAUAUAAAUAUAAUAUAUAUAAUAACUAAACGUAACUAUAAUAUAAAUGUAAUAUAUAUAUUAUAACUAAACGUAAGUAUAAUAUAAAUAUAAUAUAUAUAUUAUAACUAAACGUAACUUUAAUAUAUAUAUUUAUUUAUUUAUUUUACUACAUAGUUAAUAUUUUAUACUACACUAAGUGUUAUUANAGUGGAGAUUUUACCUUUCUAUAAUCUUCCUUACAUCCCAAAAAUGGUUUUUUUUAUUUGGUAAAUUACUUGUCUAAUUAUCAGUAGAGAUCUUACUUUCUCCUAAUUGGUCACCGAAGAAAGAACAGAUGUCUGAUGCAUCAGACUCACCUUCGAUACCAACACAUAUGACUAGUCACAACUGAUUGGACCAGGCCAGAGCUGCUCUAUGAUCAGGGAUGUGCGGCUCUGGUUUUUAGGUUCUCUCUAUCCUACCAACAGAGAAGGUUCCUAACAAGUCCCAAGUAUUUUUAUUUUAUUUAAUCAACUAUCCUAUUAUUUUUAGUUCCCUAAUUCCUAAAGUUAUACAUCCCCUCUCACAGAACCUAAGGCUACACUUAGCCCAUUUUUCCCAUCAAAUCAGUAUCACCCCCAAUUUAUUCCAGCAACCAAUGGAAGGAAAAACGCAUGAGGGACAUGAAACCAGCAAAGUUGCAUGCCCUUGAUGCUAGAAAUAGUGGAGAAAAAGGGAAAAAUGACUCACCAAUCAGAAAGAAGAAAAUGUUCGGUAGAAAGGAAGAUCUCUACGCAGUGAACGCUUGAACACCUUCAGAAUUAAGUUUGGAUGGUUAAAUUUUCCAGAAAUCUAGAGAGAAGUCAGAGGAGUGUUUAGGGCAAGAGAGUUUUAGAGAGAGUAUGGCUUCUGUGAAAAAGAGUCAGAAUAGGGAGAAGCUCCCCUCUCCUAAGGCUCUGCUGACCUUAGCCUUAUGGGCCUGGUAGCCUAACUUAAAGCCCAAAUGGAUUUUAAAUAAAAAAAAAAAAUACAAGGCUCUUAGAUUCUCCCCAACAAUUUAGAAUUUUCAUCCCCAAAAAUUAAACUUACCACGAAAUAGACGAGGGUAAGACUCUCGCAUAUCUUCCAAUGAAGUGUUCAAAUUGCACGCAGAUUCUCCAAUUUCUACUUCAUACUAUUAAAGUUGUUCUGUUACUAGAUUUUUUUCUAGCUAAAUUGACAAAGAAAAUUUUGACAUAACUUGAACUUCCUCAAUCUCUAGGUAUGUACCAAAAGGAUACGAGAAUGCAAAUAUUGAUGAAGAAUCUAAUUAAAGAUGCAACGCUUCAAUCCAUUACUAAGCUAUUUACCUAAACAUGCACUCAUUUUAUAAAAAAAAAAAAACAUGAAAAAAAGAAAAAAAAAACAAAUGAUAACAGGCAAUUUACAGAUUGAGUAAUGCAUUAUCCACAAGUAGAAAAAUCCAAAAUUCUCUAACCUAGAAACUGUAAUCAUUCAAUAAAUGAAUCAUACAUCUUACAUUUCGCAUUUCAUUUGUCACGUUCUUCAAAUUACUACUAUAUUAUUUUAAACCUUUGACUAAUAUUUUGGUUUCAGAUAACAACAAAAUACGAACAAUUGCCUAAGACAAAGAAAAAAAAAUGUUGAAAAGAAUACACAAGCAAGCAUCAAACAGCUGAAAGGAGAAACUAUUAGGGUCCACAUUUUAAGCUAAAGAAAAUAGAAAUAACUUAAUAGCUCAAAUUAGUUGCAUUUCUAUAACCGAAUCCUGAGAAAACAUGCAUUAUAAUGAUUGACUAGUUACUUUUAGAUAUACAUACAAAACAUCCAACAUAAAUUUAUAGCACAUAUAAGAUAAGUUGCAAUGAAAGUUUAUGCAUGCCCAGCCCAGGUAUCUGUUGCUUUGUGGACAGAAACUAGAAUAUAAAAACAGGACUGUCUGACCAGCCUAACAGUAUUUCAAUUAGAAAAUAUUAAAAAGUUCAGAAAAUAUGUGCAUAUUAAACGAGUGGACAACCUUAGGAGAUGGCCAAUAACUUGAACCAUCCCUACAUUUAUUUAUGACAGGAAAGUCAAUAGUGAGAAUAAAAAUUAUGUUACCUAGGAAUUAAUUUGUAGUUGAAAGUGGAAAAGAUCAAUUACAUAUUACACGUAGCACAUAAUCUUCAUCAAGGAGAUACAUCUAGACCUUUCUAAAUAAGAAAAGUUUACACAAUCUCAGAUCAUAAAAGUAAAUCCUUCUCUAAGAAAACCAAACGAUUAAUCUGGGUCCAUGAAGAUUAAUUGAGUGAAAAAUGCGUAACAAUUAGAAAUUUACAAAAUUGAUUACCAUGAAAUUACAGAAAAAAAAAUCAAAUAUUUAUAUUUCAUUGAUAAUUGCACAUACAAUAGGAACCAUACACCUAGGUUUCAAUUUUCCGUCAUCCUACAAACAAACUACCAGCAUACCAUGUGUCUACAAAAGCAAGUCAAAUUAAUGUAACAUUAAUUUCAAAUAUGGGAAAGAGAUGGUGCUGCUUAUAUUUCAUUUCCCUUCUAUUGGCAAUAGCUUCUUAAUAUUAAAAAAAACAUAUAUUAUUUGAAAAAUUCCACAAGUUCAUUCUUAAAGAAUUAAAUUGUCUAAAUACACCCAAAAUUGAUCAUAUAAUAAAAUUCAAUAAACCUAUAGAUAUAAACAAAAAGUAUGGAAGAAGAAGGGUUUGAGUAGCAGUAGCGUAAGAUUGAAAACUUUAUCCACUCAUCCAUUCUUUCAUUCGUAUAAUAGAACUAAGACUGUUAAUAUAAUAGCUAUUGAUGUGUUUGAUAUUUUUUUUUUCUCUUGGAUUGAAUUUAUGAUUGGCUUGAAAAGCAUCACAAUAUAGUGUAUUAGUGUAGCAUAGAGCAUGAUUAUAGAGAAAUUAAAUAGGAAGUAAAAUUCAAUUUAAUACCUCGCGAUAGUUAAUGGUAAUUCCUGUAGUCAAUUUGAUAUAGUUAUGUUGCUAGCUUGGGGAACCAUUCUAGGGUUUUGACCUUCGAAAGAUUGGGAUUAUGUUUUUCUAAUAAUAAAAAAAAAAAUCGGAAAGGAGGAGGGAGAAACGAGACAUUGAUGAUCCACAAAAUCAUGCAUUAGGUUCAGACAUAAUGAGAAGAUUAAGAUAUAACUUUAUAAUUGUAAACUCUAAAUUUUAAAUAAUGAUUAGAUUAUAGAAAUAAAACAUUAUAUAUUUUAAAUUUUGAAAAGUUAUGAUGUAAAAAAAAAUAAAAAUGGAGUUGUCAAUUUGAUAACAAUUUUAUAUUAGAGCUAACGAGAAGAAGGUAUAUGUAUGUUUUAAGAAAAUAAAAUUAAUAAUAAUUACUUUAAUUUUUUUUUAUUUGUAAAGUACACUUAAAAAUAAAAUACAAAUAUGCAGUGUUAUUAAUAUAAGAAAAUUUUAAAAGAUAAUUUCUUUACAUGUUAAUAAUAUAAGAAAACUACGAAUAAUAUUUAAAAUAUAAACCCAAUACUUCAUCAAACAUAAUUACAACAUAUGCACGUGAUCAAACAAGAUACCUAACCACAACAAGCUCAUACAAUAAUUUCACCUCAACAACUAAGAAUCUUACAUUCAAUCAAUAGGAAGUGAAUUUCAGUAUCUCAGAGAAUAAAAACAUGGUAAUGUAGUGACAGUAUAACCAAGCAACAGAAUAUAUAUUUUAGUUAAAUGGAAUUGAAACUAAGUUAGCAUCCUCUUAAAUUAACCCCAAGACACUAAUCAUAUUAGAAGAAUCACUACUUCCACCCCUCUCCAUGAACCUAAUACACAAGGACCUACAAACAGGCUCCAACCACAAUUGCAUACAAAAGCAUCACACCAUUUCAUACACAUAGGAUAACCCUAACUCUUUCUUAUCCCAAACCUUCAGAAUUAAGAAAGGAAAAUCAUCUCUGGUAAGAGUCAUAAGUGUGCACCCUCAUUACUUUUAUCAAGACAAUUUUUUGUUCUCAAAACUUCCAAUUAAAUAUGAAAUUUUACUAUCUAAACUUGGAAUAAAUGGUAAAAUAUACCAUUUAGACUCAACUUUUCAUAGAGAAGACACGAUAAACCUGAAACACACAGGUCAUCCCAAGGACAAACUGCUCUGAUACCAUAAAUGUGACAUCUCAAUUUUAUACUUCAUUGCGGGUAUAAAAAUUAAGACGUCAACAUGGAUGAUAAUGGAAAGCAGUUGGAAUAAUAAAAUAGUAGAUAAGGUUCUAAGAAAUUAAAAUUAAGGAUUACAGUAAUCCGGAAUGUAGAGGAAAUUUAAAAAGGUGGAAUACUAAAGUACUUCGAAAUACAAGAACUGAAAUUGUUCAGAUGCAUGNGAAAACUAUGGAAUUCCUAGAAAGACUAAGAAGNUGUUUCCUCNCUCCCUUCCAGGACAUUCUCCACUGAGGCCUCAUUCUCCUCUGCUCACAUCCAAGUGGAUGAUCAUCGCAAAAGAAAAANCAGGCAANAAACACAAACACAAACAAGCAAGGGUGAGCUAAUUAUAUAAACAAAUACAUAUAACANAUUAAGCAUGUGAUCAUAUAAGAGUGAAUUGAAAACAANACAGUUAGGAAACACAACCUAAGCAUGUUAUUUUCUAGACUUGACUCNUCCGGACUUUAAAAUGAUAGUCGGGCUAUGNCGAGUCUUGNACCCGUGGUGACUUAUGAAACUUGGGUUCCCCACCCUGCCACACUCACGAGGUUAGUCCGUUCCGCNCCUUGAGGCAUACUGGGAGCCCCCAAGACUAAGGACCUCCUGCUACUUCUCACCACAUGGUUCAACCUCUCUAAGUGAGUUUGAUUGACCAUUGAAGCGUCAGAAUGACUCCCAAGGCUGAGCCCCUACUUUCAUUUUAAAACACUAAGAAUCUCACCAAGAGAUU
rnacentral:lncRNA from 1 species